rnacentral:misc_RNA from 1 species
UGAACCCAUGCUAAAGAAACGUAAACCUGUGGACAUGUUACAAGUGCAAUAUACUGGCGAUUUUUUUCGGUUUCGGGGAUUGCCACGACUGUUGUGUAUGAAGGAAUGGAUGGAAUCAGCAUCGUCUCUGCUUAUUAGUUGGUCUGAGCACGUUGCAUGAGGCCUUGGAUCUUGCAAGAGGAGCAGCGCAGGAAGCAUCCUGCAAGGCCUGGUAGGAGUAUGCGGCAUACACCGGUCCAAGGCCGCCCUGGAACUUGGAGGCUGGAACCCUGGUCCUCUGAUCGUACUUCAGGGCCCCGAUGGCAAGGGCCUGCCAAGACCUUGAAGAAACUGGGUCCUGUCAACUGCGUCAUCCU